rnacentral:tRNA from 1 species
GGUGGGUUCAUCUAACGGUUAGGAUACAUGCCUCUCACGCAUGGCAUACGAGUUCGAUUCUCGUACCCACUA